rnacentral:tRNA from 1 species
GAGGCUUUAGUAUAAAGUAAGUAUAAUUUAUUUUCAAUAAGUUGGUUUUAAGUCUUA